GGGCCCGUGGCCUAGCACGGAUAUGGCGCCGGCCUCCUAAGCCGGGGGUCGUGGGUUCAAGUCCCACCGGGCCCG
rnacentral:tRNA from 1 species